rnacentral:rRNA from 1 species
UACGUAGGGGGCAAGCGUUAUCCGGAUUUACUGGGUGUAAAGGGGGCGCAGACGGCGAUGCAAGCCAGGAGUGAAAGCCCGGGGCCCAACCCCGGGACUGCUUUGGAAACUGUGAAGCUGGAGUGCGGGAGGGGCAGGCGGAAUUCCUGGUGUAGCGGUGAAAUGCGUAGAUAUCAGGAGGAACACCGGCGGCGAAGGCGGCCUGCUGGACCGUGACUGACGCUGAGGUACGAAAGCGUGGGGAGCAAACAGG